GGCCGCGUGGCCCAAUGGCAAGGCGUCUGACUACGAAUUGAUGUUUUCGAGCAUUUGAUGUUAUCAGGAGAUUGCAGGUUCGAGCCCUGCCGUGGUCA
rfam:Verticillium dahliae VdLs.17 supercont1.12 genomic scaffold, whole genome shotgun sequence.